rnacentral:ncRNA from 1 species
CUCUGUUUCAGCAAAUGAUUCAGGGGCAAAAGGAG